rnacentral:rRNA from 1 species
GACGAACCGUACGAACGUUAUUCGGAAUUACUGGGCUUAAAGGGUGCGUAGGCUGUGCAGAAAGUUGGGUGUGAAAUCCCUUAGCUUAACUGAGGAACUGCGCCCAAAACUACUGUGCUAGAGGAAGACAGGGGUAAGCGGAACUUACGGUGGAGCGGUGAAAUGUGUUGAUAUCGUAAGGAACACCGGUGGCGAAGGCGGCUUACUGGGUCUUUUCUGACGCUGAGGCACGAAAGCUAGGGGAGCAAACGGGAUUAGAUACCCCGGUAGUCCUAGCUGUAAACGAUGAGCACUUGAUCGAAGGGGUUCCCAUGCCCUUUUGGUCGUAGCGAAAGUGUUAAGUGCUCCGCCUGGGGAGUAUGGCCGCAAGGCUGAA